rnacentral:rRNA from 1 species
UACGUAGGUGGCAAGCGUUGUCCGGAUUUACUGGGCGUAAAGGGCGUGUAGGCGGUUUGUUAAGUGCAGGGUGAAAGCUCCCGGCUCAACUGGGAGAGGUCCUUGCAUACUGGCGAACUCGAGGGAGGCAGAGGAAAGUGGAAUUCCCGGUGUAGUGGUGAUAUGCGUAGAUAUCGGGAGGAACACCAGUGGCGAAGGCGGCUCACUGGACCGGAACUGACGCUGAGGCGCGAAAGCGUGGGGAGCAAACGGG